UACAGAGGUCCCGAGCGUUGUUCGGAUUCACUGGGCGUAAAGGGUGCGUAGGUGGCGAUGAAAGUUCGAUGUGAAAUCUCCGGGCUUAACCCGGAAAAGGCAUUGAAACUAUGUUGCUUGAGGUUUGGAGGGGGGACUGGAAUUCUUGGUGUAGCAGUGAAAUGCGUAGAGUAUCAAGAGGAACACCAGUGGCGAAGGCGGGUCCCUGGACAACACCUGACACUGAGGCACGAAAGCUAGGGGAGCAAACAGG
rnacentral:rRNA from 1 species